UCUCGCUCGGGUGAAAUCUCUCCUGGAAGAUUUCAAGGUGUGUGCAGAGUUCUGAAGAAUAAAAGUCAACAGUCAAGUUCUUCUCCAUAUUCUCCAAAUCUGACGGAGGCGUUCCAUCAGGAAAGGGGGAAUGGUUGGUCGAUGCCUCCAGAAUAAUGAUACCCAUGACCCAGGCACAACAUGCUGACAGGGAAUCGGCUAUGGCAGAAAGCAUCCAUGCCAUCUACGUGAUCCGCCAUGAAGGUUCAGAAGCUACUGACAGUCCUGAGGACAUCGGAAUCAUUUUCAAAGGGGUGACUGCAUUUGGCUGCUUGUCAAACAUCCUACCCAGGCUCCGCCCUCGCAGUGACGCAACACCUUCGGCUCUGCUACACACACUCAGGAAAACUUUGUUCAGGUACUUUCGGGUUCCCUCCACAGCAGGAAACUCCACCCACUUUGUCGGGAAGCAAUCGACUUUCAGCAUCACCAACCGUCCUGGCUAGAGGCGUGUUCAAGGAAGUGACAAGGUUUGAGCAGAGACGCUCUAUUGGGACUAAGAAAAUGUUUGGUUUGAACUUUGGCUCAGCCUGUUCGGCCCUCGACCAGUAGCAAAUCAUGAGAGUUGGGUCAACCAUGCCGUUUGAGAAUGUUGUUAUGCUCUUGGUCAGACCAAGUCUCGAAGAGAUUUGUAAGUCAUGAUAAUCAGGUUACAAAUAUUCACUUACAGUGGCCAUAUUUCUUGCCCUUGUUUACGCACUAAACUUGUUAUCCUCCUUGAAAGUUGUGUGUGUGUGUGAGUAAUAAUGCAGACAUAAU